UCAGUAACACGUAGUCAACAUGCCCAGGGGACGUGGAUAACCUCGGGAAACUGAGAUUAAACCGCGAUAGGUCAAGAUUUCUGGAAUGGAUCUUGUCUUAAAUCUACAUGGCCCCUGGAUUGGACUGCGGCCGAUCAGGCUGUUGGUGAGGUAAUGGCCCACAAACCUAUAACCGGUACGGGCUCUGAGAGGAGAAGCCCGGAGAUGGGCACUGAGACAAGGGCCCAGGCCCUAUGGGGCGCAGCAGGCGCGAAACCUCUGCAAUGGGCGAAAGCCUGACAGGGUUACUCUGAGUGAUUUCCGCUAAGGAGAUCUUUUGGCAGCUCUAAAAAUGGUGCAGAAUNAAGGGGUGGGCAAGCCUGGUGCCA
rnacentral:rRNA from 1 species